UUAACACAUGCAAGUCGAGGGGCAGCAUUUUAGUUUGCUUGCAAACUGAAGAUGGCGACCGGCGCACGGGUGAGUAACACGUAUCCAACCUGCCGAUAACUCCGGGAUAGCCUUUCGAAAGAAAGAUUAAUACCGGAUAGCAUACGAAUAUCGCAUGAUAUUUUUAUUAAAGAAUUUCGGUUAUCGAUGGGGAUGCGUUCCAUUAGUUUGUUGGCGGGGUAACGGCCCACCAAGACUACGAUGGAUGGGGGUUCUGAGAGGAAGGUCCCCCACAUUGGAACUGAGACACGGUCCAAACUCCUACGGGAGGCAGCAGUGAGGAAUAUUGGUCAAUGGGCGCGAGCCUGAACCAGCCAAGUAGCGUGAAGGAUGAAGGCUCUAUGGGUCGUAAACUUCUUUUAUAUGGGAAUAAAGUUUUCCACGUGUGGAAUUUUGUAUGUACCAUAUGAAUAAGGAUCGGCUAACUCCGUGCCAGCAGCCGCGGUAAUACGGAGGAUCCGAGCGUUAUCCGGAUUUAUUGGGUUUAAAGGGAGCGUAGGUGGAUUGUUAAGUCAGUUGUGAAAGUUUGCGGCUCAACCGUAAAAUUGCAGUUGAAACUGGCAGUCUUGAGUACAGUAGAGGUGGGCGGAAUUCGUGGUGUAGCGGUGAAAUGCUUAGAUAUCACGAAGAACUCCGAUUGCGAAGGCAGCUCACUAGACUGUCACUGACACUGAUGCUCGAAAGUGUGGGUAUCAAACAGGAUUAGAUACCCUGGUAGUCCACACAGUAAACGAUGAAUACUCGCUGUUUGCGAUAUACAGUAAGCGGCCAAGCGAAGGCAUUAAGUAUUCCACCUGGGGAGUACGCCGGCAACGGUGAAACUCAAAGGAAUUGACGGGGGCCCGCACAAGCGGAGGAACAUGUGGUUUAAUUCGAUGAUACGCGAGGAACCUUACCCGGGCUUAAAUUGCAACAGAAUAUAUUGGAAACAGUAUAGCCGUAAGGCUGUUGUGAAGGUGCUGCAUGGUUGUCGUCAGCUCGUGCCGUGAGGUGUCGGCUUAAGUGCCAUAACGAGCGCAACCCUUAUCUUUAGUUACUAACAGGUCAUGCUGAGGACUCUAGAGAGACUGCCGUCGUAAGAUGUGAGGAAGGUGGGGAUGACGUCAAAUCAGCACGGCCCUUACGUCCGGGGCUACACACGUGUUACAAUGGGGGGUACAGAAGGCGGCUACCUGGAGACAGGAUGCUAAUCCCAAAAACCUCUCUCAGUUCGGAUCGAAGUCUGCAACCCGACUUCGUGAAGCUGGAUUCGCUAGUAAUCGCGCAUCAGCCAUGGCGCGGUGAAUACGUUCCCGGGCCUUGUACACACCGCCCGUCAAGCCAUGAAAGCCGGGGGUACCUGAAGUACGUAACCGCAAGGAGCGUCCUAGGGUAAAACUGGUAAUUGGGGCUAAGU
rnacentral:rRNA from 1 species